UUAAGUUCAGCGCGUAUUCCUACCUGAUCCGAGGUCAACCUUGUGAGUUUUUCGCCGGUGAGGGCAAAAGGGGGACCGGAGCCUGGGCGCCCUUGUCCGACACAUGCCUCGUAAAAAGCUCAGUGUACCGGGGGAACCACAGGCCGCCGUCGUUAUCUUUCGGAGGGGUCGCGCCGGGGCAACGACCAAGCCGUCCAACA
rnacentral:misc_RNA from 1 species